rnacentral:tRNA from 1 species
UGAGGAUUGGCCGAUUGGUUUAGGCACUGGACUUUGAAUCCAGUUAGAGAGGUUCAAUUCCUCUAUCCUCUG